rnacentral:rRNA from 1 species
AGCCGUAGAGAUACGGUCUCCCUUCGGGGCGGGUUCACAGGUGGUGCAUGGUCGUCGUCAGCUCGUGUCGUGAGAUGUUGGGUUAAGUCCCGCAACGAGCGCAACCCUCGCCCUGUGUUGCCAGCACGUCGUGGUGGGAACUCACGGGGGACCGCCGGGGUCAACUCGGAGGAAGGUGGGGAUGACGUCAGAUCAUCAUGCCCCUUACGUCCAGGGCUUCACGCAUGCUACAAUGGCCGGUACAACGGGAUGCGACACCGCGAGGUGGAGCGGAUCCCUUAAAACCGGUCUCAGUUCGGAUUGGAGUCUGCAACCCGACUCCAUGAAGGCGGAGUCGCUAGUAAUCGCGGAUCAGCAACGCCGCGGUGAAUGCGUUCCCGGGUCUUGUACACACCG